CCUACGGGAGGCAGCAGUGAGGAAUAUUGGUCAAUGGACGAGAGUCUGAACCAGCCAAGUAGCGUGAAUGAUGACUGCCCUAUGGGUUGUAAACUUCUUUUAUAUGGGAAUAAAACAGGGUAUGCAUACCCUCUUGUAUGUACCAUAUGAAUAAGGAUCGGCUAACUCCGUGCCAGCAGCCGCGGUAAUACGGAGGAUCCGAGCGUUAUCCGGAUUUAUUGGGUUUAAAGGGAGCGUAGGUGGAUUGUUAAGUCAGUUGUGAAAGUUUGCGGCUCAACCGUAAAAUUGCAGUUGAAACUGGCAGUCGUGAGUACAGUAGAGGUGGGCGGAAUUCGUGGUGUAGCGGUGAAAUGCUUAGAUAUCACGAAGAACUCCGAUUGCGAAGGCAGCUCACUGGACUGCAACUGACACUGAUGCUCGAAAGUGUGGGUAUCAAACAGGAUUAGAUACCCCAGUAGUC
rnacentral:rRNA from 1 species